rnacentral:tRNA from 1 species
AGUAAAGUCAGCUAAUCAAGCUUUCGGGCCCAUACCCCGAAAAUGUUGGUACAAAAAUCCUUCCUAUACUA